rnacentral:rRNA from 1 species
CGCACGGGUGAGUAACACGUAUCCAACCUGCCGUCUACUCUUGGACAGCCUUCUGAAAGGAAGAUUAAUACAAGAUGGCAUCAUGAGUCCGCAUGUUCACAUGAUUAAAGGUAUUCCGGUAGACGAUGGGGAUGCGUUCCAUUAGAUAGUAGGCGGGGUAACGGCCCACCUAGUCUUCGAUGGAUAGGGGUUCUAAGAGGAAGGUCCCCCACAUUGGAACUGAGACACGGUCCAA